UGGGGAAUAUUGCACAAUGGGGAAGACCCUGAUGCAGCGACGCCGCGUGAAGGAUGAAGUAUUUCGGUAUGUAAAUCUUCUAUCAGCAGGGAAGAAAAUGACGGUACCUGACUAAGAAGCCCCGGCUAACUACGUGCCAGCAGCCGCGGUAAUACGUAGGGGGCAAGCGUUAUCCGGAUUUACUGGGUGUAAAGGGAGCGUAGACGGCAUGGCAAGUCUGAAGUGAAAGCCCGGGGCGUCAACCCCAGGGCAGCUGUUUGGAAAUACUGUCAGGCUAGAGUGCUGGAGAGGUAAGUGGAAUUCCUAGUGUAGCGGUGAAAUGCGUAGAUAUUAGGAGGAACACCAGUGGCGAAGGCGGCUUACUGGACAGUGACUGACGUUGAGGCUCGAAAGCGUGGGGAGCAAACAGGAUUAGAUACCC
rnacentral:rRNA from 1 species